rnacentral:tRNA from 1 species
AGGUCCGUAGCUCAAUUGGCAGAGCACCGGUCUCCAAAACCGGGGGUUGCAGGUUCGAUUCCUGCCGGGCCUG